rnacentral:misc_RNA from 1 species
AAGUCGUAACAAGGUUUCCGUAGGUGAACCUGCGGAAGGAUCAUUAAAGAGAAAGGGGCUUAAAAAUCCCCGACCUACCAAACCCUCUGUUAGUUAAACUACUUUGUUGCUUUGGCGGGACCGUUCGGUCUUUCCGAACCUCUCAGGGACCCUCACGGGUUUCCGGGGGAGCUCCCGCCAUGAGUUUAAACCAAACUCUUGUUAUAUAAACCGGUCGUCUGAGUAAAAUUUUUGAUUAAAUUCAAAAC